UCCGUAGGUGAACCUUGCGGAAGGAUCAUUACCGAGUGAGGGCCCUCUGGGUCCAACCUCCCACCCGUGUCUAUCGUACCUUGUUGCUUCGGCGGGCCCGCCGUUUCGACGGCCGCCGGGGAGGCCUUGCGCCCCCGGGCCCGCGCCCGCCGAAGACCCCAACAUGAACGCUGUUCUGAAAGUAUGCAGUCUGAGUUGAUUAUCGUAAUCAGUUAAAACUUUCAACAACGGAUCUCUUGGUUCCGGCAUCGAUGAAGAACGCAGCGAAAUGCGAUAAGUAAUGUGAAUUGCAGAAUUCAGUGAAUCAUCGAGUCUUUGAACGCACAUUGCGCCCCCUGGUAUUCCGGGGGGCAUGCCUGUCCGAGCGUCAUUGCUGCCCUCAAGCACGGCUUGUGUGUUGGGCCCCCGUCCCCCUCUCCCGGGGGACGGGCCCGAAAGGCAGCGGCGGCACCGCGUCCGGUCCUCGAGCGUAUGGGGCUUUGUCACCUGCUCUGUAGGCCCGGCCGGCGCCAGCCGACACCCAACUUUAUUUUUCUAAGGUUGACCUCGGAUCAGGUAGGGAUACCCGCUGAACUUAAGCAUAUCAAUAAGCGGAGGA
rnacentral:ncRNA from 12 species